UACGUAGGGCGCAAGCGUUGUCCGGAAUUAUUGGGCGUAAAGAGCUCGUAGGCGGCUUGUCACGUCGGAUGUGAAAGCCCGAGGCUUAACCUCGGGUCUGCAUUCGAUACGGGCUAGCUAGAGUGUGGUAGGGGAGAUCGGAAUUCCUGGUGUAGCGGUGAAAUGCGCAGAUAUCAGGAGGAACACCGGUGGCGAAGGCGGAUCUCUGGGCCAUUACUGACGCUGAGGAGCGAAAGCGUGGGGAGCUAACAGG
rnacentral:rRNA from 1 species